GAGUUUGAUCCUGGCUCAGGACGAACGCUGGCGGCGCGCCUAACACAUGCAAGUCGAACGAGAGAGAGGGAGCUUGCUUCCUUGAUCGAGUGGCGAACGGGUGAGUAACGCGUGAGGAACCUGCCUCAAAGAGGGGGACAACAGUUGGAAACGACUGCUAAUACCGCAUAAGCCCACGACCCGGCAUCGGGAAGAGGGAAAAGGAGCAAUCCGCUUUGGGAUGGCCUCGCGUCCGAUUAGCUAGUUGAUGAGGUAACGGCCCACCAAGGCGACGAUCGGUAGCCGGACUGAGAGGUUGAACGGCCACAUUGGGACUGAGACACGGCCCAGACUCCUACGGGAGGCAGCAGUGGGGAAUAUUGCACAAUGGGGGAAACCCUGAUGCAGCGACGCCGCGUGGAGGAAGAAGGUCUUCGGAUUGUAAACUCCUGUUGUUGAGGAAGAUAAUGACGGUACUCAACAAGGAAGUGACGGCUAACUACGUGCCAGCCGCCGCGGUAAUUC
rnacentral:rRNA from 1 species